UAUGGUUAUCAGCUGUUCUGGUUUGCCCAAGACUCUCCAUUUGCAGCACUGGAUAUCUCUGAGUCCUAGGGCAAACCUGGACAGUGGGUCAGCCAGCACCUAC
rnacentral:miRNA from 1 species